rnacentral:rRNA from 1 species
GAUGAACGCUGGCGGCGUGCCUAAUACAUGCAAGUCGAGCGAACGGACGAGAAGCUUGCUUCUCUGAUGUUAGCGGCGGACGGGUGAGUAACACGUGGAUAACCUACCUAUAAGACUGGGAUAACUUCGGGAAACCGGAGCUAAUACCGGAUAAUAUUUUGAACCGCAUGGUUCAAAAGUGAAAGACGGUCUUGCUGUCACUUAUAGAUGGAUCCGCGCUGCAUUAGCUAGUUGGUAAGGUAACGGCUUACCAAGGCAACGAUGCAUAGCCGACCUGAGAGGGUGAUCGGCCACACUGGAACUGAGACACGGUCCACACUCCUACGGGAGACCGCAGUAGGGAAUCUUCCGCAAUGCGCGAAUGCCUGACGGAGCAACGCCGCGUGCGUGAUGAACGUCUUCGGAUCGUAAAACUCUGUUAUUAGGGAAGAACAUAUGUAUAAGUAACUGUGCACAUCUUGACGGUACCUAGUCAGAAAGCCACGGCUAACUACGUG